UUCUCCUGGAGAGGUCCUGCCAUGCUCAGUGUCCCAGAGAUAAUGUGCAAAGUCACAGAUGAGCUGAAGGAGCAAUCUAAAGGUCACGUUCAGCCCUGUGCAAUGAACCAGCAGAUCACAUACUUCUCGAGUGGGACCUCUCCAUCUACGCUAUGCUGACAUUCAUGUUGCCCUCAAGACUGGCUUGAAUUUCACUCAAGGUGCAGUCAGAAGAGCUGACAUCUCUGCUGGUGACUGCAAAAGUGAAUAGAAGAAAAAUGUCAGAAAGAAAAGGACUUGGGGUUUGCAUCUUAUUAUUAUCUUUCCUUUCUGAUAGACCAUUUAUUCCUUCCACACCUCUCUUCUAUUGACCAAAACCAGUAUCUAAUUCAGAAAGUAUCUUUUGGAUGAAGGCUUACAGCUCCGGUAGGAAGGGUGUAUGCUGCAAGAAGAGUCCUUGGCUACCCCAAGAGUCCAGAAAACUCUGCCUUAGAAGCAUGUUUCUGGGGAAGGCAUUUGGGCAUUUUGUGGCCCAUUUUGCUUUGCUGAUGUUUUCCCAGUGCCUUUCCUGUGGCAGGGGAUGUGUAGAGUGCCCUAGCACAGGGUGGGGUCACACUGCUGCUUGAGGUUUAGCACAAAAAUAAAAUCCAGAGCAAUGGAACAA